CGGGACUCCAUCUUAGCACCUUCCUGCAGGGGAGAUAUUUUUCCCAUGGAUCCAGUGUGUUUCCCGUUUUUUCCAUUAUUUUUCCUCAUGACUGGAGGUGGUGCCUAUGGCCGGGGCGGAACUGCAAUGAAGGAAGAUUGUGUUGGGUUUGCUCGAAAACAAUGGUAUUUGCCCAGGAUCCAGUUAUCUCAAGAGGUGUGUUGCAGAGAAGCGGCCUGGCAGAGGUGUGACAGCGUCUCAGAAAGGCAGGGGCUGUCCUGUUCUCAUACGAUGACACUAGAGCUGAACACCGCACUCCUCUUGGGAAGGAAAAACAGCCCUGUGGCCCCUCCGGAGCUUGAGUCCACCCUGAAGAACUCUCUCUGCCUGAGUGGGCACACGCCUUUUCCUAUCGUACUUUGUUGUAGUGGGCCAUUUCCAGCCCCUAGAUGACAAUGGAUGGGAGCAAAUCCACAAAUCAAAUACAUUUGAUCUUUGGUGUCUUUCUUUCCAGGGGAGUUAAAAGGCAAACCAGAAUGCUGUUUUCUACUCUAAAAGGCAAUUUCUAAAUUUGGAUUUUGAAAAAAAAAAAAAAAAAUUGUACUCCAGCUUGAAAAUCCAGUGGCCCUCAGAAAGCAAAAAGGCACAUUCCCUGUGUGGCGAGUACUCUCAAAUGCUGAUGGGAUCUUUAAGUCACACGGAUCCAGUCCCAGAGCCACACAAAUGCCCCUGGCCACGCUGACAGCAACAGAGCUGUCCUGACGCCUCUGUCCCCGGAGAUGCCAAUGAAAUCACGCAGGCCUGAGCCCGACUUCGAGGGGAGAGCUUGCCUCUGGCCGGGGUGGCUGAUGGAAACCAGAGCCUGGGAACGCUGUCCCGGCCAGGUGGCCAGGUAGGCAGCGGGCAGCAGGGGGUUAAGCAACGAGUGGGGAAGGGUGCAAACAAAAGGCCACGGGCAGGGCAAACCGGGCUGCAGGGCCCAGCCCGAACAGGCGCAGACACAGGGAGCUCUGUCUGCCCGCCCGCUGCCCAGCACUGUGACUAACCGCCCCACUAUUGUGCCCUGAAGCCAGCCCUUUGUACCAUCCCCCUGGCGUCUGGGAGCGCGGCCGAGGAACCUUCCUUGUCCUGGAAACUUGCAGCCUCGACACCCAUUCUUUCAGCUCUCGGGGCUGCUGGGGGCAUGACUAGCCAGUGGCAGCGUCCUUUCCCCUGGUCAAGAAGGGAUAUCAGCAAAAAAAAAAAAAAAGAAGAAGCAGAAAAACCAGUCUCCCCAACUCUGGGGGAGGGGAGCCCUAGGUACCGCUAAACUUGCCCUGCCCAGUGCCAUGGCCCUUCCCGACACGCGGCCACUGAACCUUUGAACUGCGGAGAAUCCCUCAGAACGAAGAUAUGCGGCCGCCUUGGCAGCUCACGCGAUGUUUCUACCGGACAGAGCUACGCUGGGCUGUGGGUACUGGGGUCUGGGAAUGGGCCUUGCCCGCAGCCCGCUUCCUCUGGACACCACUGUCCCUCCCCACCCAGGGACAAAACCCUUCGCCCAGCGGCCAGGAACCCAGGCCCUCACGGCCUCACCUGUGUGCACUGCCUGUGUGCAUUGACUCGGGGAUGGGUCUUGCACACUCAGCUGUCUGGGACUCCUUUGUAAAGCAUGUAAGUGUGCAUAGGAACACGCACACGCGUGCUCGAGGGCCCUGACUCUCCACUGCAGGCCAUGUCAACUGUGCCGGCUGGUGUUCAGAGAGAGUCGGUUCACAGGGCACCGAAAGGCCAUCUGACCCUUUGCUCUGGGACUCGCCCAAGGCCCCAUCAUGACUUUCCUGGACUCAAGCACUUUCGCUUUCAUGGCUCCUUCCUCCGUAAAUAUUAAAAAUUAUAUUUUAUGACUGCAUUGGUGUCAAGAACAAUAUAACCCACACUGAAUUCAUCAUUAUGUGUUCAUUAUUGC
ensembl:lncRNA